UACGAAGGGGGCUAGCGUUGUUCGGAAUUACUGGGCGUAAAGGGCGCGCAGGCGGUCUUCCAAGUCAGAUGUGAAAGCCCCGGGCUCAACCUGGGAACUGCAUUUGAGACUGGAGGACUAGAGUUCGGGAGAGGAGAGCGGAAUUCCCAGUGUAGAGGUGAAAUUCGUAGAUAUUCGGAAGAACACCAGUGGCGAAGGCGACUUACUGGACACAUAUUGACGCUGAGGUGCGAAAGCGUGGGGAGCAAACAGG
rnacentral:rRNA from 1 species